UCCUGCAGCAUUCAUUGCGAGCUUACCAACACCUGGGAGUUUUACAAAACAUCCAAAUUCAGGUUUCCUAACCAAAAAUGGCUGUUGUAAUACUAGGUUCUUGCCACAUUAAAACUAGGUGGAAGCCAGUGUCAUCUCUUCCUUAACCUCUGCAGCCUACUAAAUCGCACAAGGGGGCACUUUAGAGUCCAGCUGGGAAUAUCAUCACGUGGCUUUGUGCCACAACACUAAACCUAUCAGUUCUGUGCUGAACUCACAGUUUGACGUGAUGAUAGUUUCUCACUGAGGAAUAGAAAGCAUGAAAACAGUCGGUGACACAACUGAAGAAAAGCUACAGAUCAGUUUGGUACCCUCUGGUGGAAAUGUGCUUAAUGUGUAUGUGGGCUUAUGUUCCUCCCGUUAACCUGACAGAGGUGACGUCACUGGAUCUGGAAGUGAUUGGACCAGGCUCUGAUGCUAUUGGCCACCAUUCAAUGGAAGGUCCUGUAAGCUGUCUGCAUUCUGGAGACCAUCUUCAUUCUUCGAAGAACAUAACCAACUGGACAAACCAAGCCCUGCAGUUCACUUUGCAGCGUCUGCCUGUGCCCGACGCCCUGCUCGCUUUCCACGGACUCCCCUUCUUGGAAGUUGUGCUCGCCAGCCCGCUCGCUCUCCGACGCUGCCCACGGACUUACCAACUUGGACGCCCGGAGUAAACCUCCCCGUACCUCCCAGCCUUCCUCUCUGACCAGCACCAGCUCCAGGUUCCAGCCCCGACCAGUACCAAUCCCAGACUUGCCCCAGCGUAUUAAAUAAACAAGUUACAAACUGUUUUGGUUGUCUGCUCGUGGUUCUGCAUGUGGGUCAGAAAGUUACCUCCCAAUAUGUCAC